rnacentral:rRNA from 1 species
AUGUGUAGUCAUGUGUACAUCACCAAACCCAACCCGAACAGCGACAAGAAAGCACCCACCCCAUCAUCACCAACCACACCAGACACCACUACACCGACCAACUCCUCACGCCUAAUCAAGAUCUAUUCCGUUGUAUGGAUGGACCCCGCUCCCACUCACUCAGAUUCAUGGUGGAUCGAAUCGAGCUGCUCACCAAACGCAACCAGCCAGAGCUACAAGGACGGCGGCCACCCACGCGUUGGCCCACCCGUACGGCACUGCUCCUCUCAGCGCCGCCGCGCCCGAGGACGACUUGCCGGUGGCGCCGCCGGCCGCACCGGCGCCGCCCCCGUCGAUGGGGGAGACGGGCGCGUUGGCGUCGAUGGUGGUGCCGUUGAGGCCGGUGGUGUAGACGUCAAGCUCGAUGGUGGCGUCGGCGCCGCUCGAGCUGUUGGUCUUCCACACCACGUACCCCGUCGCCAUCCGGAACUUCCCCGUGCCGCCCACCACGGAGAGCUCCCGCGUGGUGGUCAUGACGUCGUCGCGGCCGAUGACGGCCAGCGUGCUGCCGUUGUAGUCCCCCGUGGUGAGCAGCAGGUUCACGCACAUCAUCAGCACCAUGCCCGACUGCGACGACAUCAUGUAGAACCCCUGCGCGCGCCCCACGGGCGCCGACGUCGGCGACGAGGACUCCGUCAGCGCGUCGUCGAUGACGGUCGUGUCGCCGAAGGCCACGCCCGGGAGGGCGUUGGACGACGAGGCAGGACCCUUGAUGACCUGCACCGCCGUCGGGUUGCUGCCGGAGACCACGUCGUGGAGGAAGAAGUGGAGGUGCGUGUCCGCCGCGCAGGUGGUGAGCAGGAGGAGGGAGAGGAGGACAGCGGCGUGAGGAGCCAUGAUAGGAUAGCGGGUGGGUUCUGCUUGUGA